rnacentral:rRNA from 1 species
CCUACGGGAGGCAGCAGUGGGGAAUAUUGCACAAUGAGGGAAACCCUGAUGCAGCGACGCCGCGUGCGUGAAGAAGUAUUUCGGUAUGUAAAGCUCUAUCAGCAGGGAAGAAGAAUGACGGUACCUGACUAAUACGCCCCGGCUAUCUACGUGCCAGCAGCCGCGGGAAUCCGUAGGGGGCAAGCGUUAACCGGACUUACUGGGUGUAAAGGGAUCGUAGACGGCUGUGCAAGGCUGGAGUGAAAGCCCAGGGCUCAACCCUAGGACUGUUUUGGAAACUGGGGAGCUAGAGUGCGGGAGAGGUAAGUGGAAUUCCUAGUGUAGCGGUGAAAUGCGUAGAUAUAAGGAGGAACACCAGUGGCGAAGGCAGCUUACUGGACAGAAACUGACGUUGAGGCUCGAAAGCGUGGGGAGCAAACAGGAUUAGAUACCCCUGUAGUC